CCCUUAGAUGUUCUGGGCCGCACGCGCGCUACACUGAUGCAUUCAACGAGUCUAAAACCUGGUCUGAUAGGGCUGGGUAAUCUUUUGAAUGUGCAUCGUGAUUGGGAUAGAUGAUUGCAAUUCUUCAUCUUCAACGAGGAAUGCCUAGUAAACGCAAGUCAUCAGCUUGCAUUGAUUACGUCCCUGCCCUUUGUACACACCUCCCGUCGCUCCUACCGAUUGAAUGUUCCGAUGAAUACCAUGGACUGAGAGUAUGAAUGGGUUCGCCUAUUUCUGCUUCUCGGGAAGUGGAGUAAAUCUUAACAUUUAGAGGAAGGAGAAGUCGUAACA
rnacentral:rRNA from 1 species